UUAAAACAACCAAUUUGCUGGGUUAAAACAGCCAAUUCGCUGGGUUAAAACAACCCAAUUCGCUGGGUUAAAACAACCAAUUCGCUGGGUUAAAACAGCCAAUUCGCUGGGUUAAAACAACCCAAUUCGCUGGGUUAAAACAACCAAUUCGCUGGGUUAAAACAGCCAAUUCGCUGGGUUAAAACAACCCAAUUCGCUGGGUUUCGCUGGGUUAAAACAACCCAAUACUCUGGGUUAAAACAGCCAAUUCAUUGGGUUAAAACAACUUAAUUCCCUGUGUUAAAACAGCCAAUUCGUUGUGUGAAAACAACCUAAUUCCCUGGGUUAAAACAGCCAGUUUGCUGGGUUAAAACAACCUAAUUUGCUGGGUAAAACAGCCAAUUCGCUGGGUUAAAACAACCUAAUUCGCUGGGUUAAAACAACCCAAUUCGCCGGGUUAAAACAGCUAAUUCGCUGGGUUAAAACAACCCAAUUCACUGGGUUAAAACAACCUAAUUCGCUGGGUUAAAACAACCUAAUUCGCUGGGUUAAAACAACCCAAUUCGCUGGGUUAAAACAACCAAUACCAGUUGUUUUUAACCCAGCAUUUUUUAGAGUCUAUCUAUCUAUCUAUCUAUCUAUCUAUCUAUCUAUCUAUCUAUCUAUCUAUCUAUCCCAGGCGCUCUGACACAUAUCUUAUGAACCUCACUUAAUCUCCAGCACUAACUAACAGAUUUCUAACCAGUGUACUGAACCCCAGUGCUCUGUAGUUUUCUCCCCCCGAAGCGCGUGCGUGAUUGCGCGCGCACGAUUGGCAGCUCCACGUCGACAUUCUUCCAGCUGCUACACGGACACGGACGCGGCGUGAAAGCGCUUCAUCAACAGUUUGCAGGAGCGUCAUCUGCUCAACCACCGAGUGAAAUCCUCAGGGGCUUUUGACAGAGACGACCACCGUGUUGAUCCAGAGCGCUUCUUCUGCCAAUGCAGUUUAUUCACUGUCGACUGUCUCGUGCUGUGAGUUGCAGCAGAAGAGCUUCCCUGAGAAGAAGCAGAAUCGGCGAGCGGCGCUGCAGUGGCUUUCCAAGUAAAGUUCUGUGAUACACUCUGACUCUUAAUUGUUUGCAGUCAGUGCAUUACAGAACUUUGUUUUGGGAGUUUAAAGCUCAGGCCUGGAGGAAACAAUCAUUCCAUCUGGAUGAAGCUGUAACAGUCCCUCAAAAACAGCGUUAAACUCCACAUCCUGUGUGUCCCUCAACAACAUUAAACAAAUAAAUCACAUCAUUAUCAUCAUUACAA